AGGCCCUCUCUCCCUUGUCCACAUAGACACAAAUCACAAGCUAAUAAGGUACAAUGUUGUGAUCUUUGGUGGAGUGGAUGGCUACUCAAGGAAGGUCCUGUACUUGGAUGCAGCAACUAACAACAGGGCAAAAACUGCAUUCUCAUUUUUCCUGAGAUCAGCCCAGCUUCACGGCUUGCCAUCAAG